UACGUAGGGUGCGAGCGUUAAUCGGAAUUACUGGACGUAAAGCGUGCGCAGGCGGUUUUGUAAGCCAGAGGUGAAAUCCCCGGGCUUAACCUGGGAAUGGCAUUUGGGACUGCAAGGCUCGAGUGCGGCAGAGGAGACUGGAAUUCCUGGUGUAGCAGUGAAAUGCGUAGAUAUCAGGAGGAACACCGAUGGCGAAGGCAGGUCUCUGGGCUGACACUGACGCUCAUGCACGAAAGCGUGGGGAGCAAACAGG
rnacentral:rRNA from 1 species